rnacentral:rRNA from 1 species
GUGGGGAAUUUUGCGCAAUGGGGGAAACCCUGACGCAGCAACGCCGCGUGGAGGAUGAAGUCCUUCGGGACGUAAACUCCUUUCGAUCCGGACGAAUGCCCGCAAGGGAUUGACGGUAAGGAUAUAAGAAGCCCCGGCUAACUACGU